AAAUGCCAAGUCACCGAAGGUACUCAUUUAUUCUAAAAAUAUCCACUAAGCAACCCUUUCUAAUAUGUGUUGUUCUAGGUUCUGGGAAAUAAGAAAUCAUUAGAAAAAGAUUUCUGCCUUCUAGAAGUACACAGUCUAAUGGUGAGAUAGGCAGGUAAGCUAUUACAACACAGUGAGAUAUGCACACGAGUAAAGCUGUUUUUCUUUGGUGUGCUCACAGUAAAGGGUAUAACUAACUCCAUCUGUGGGCUUCAGAAAGGGCUUCCCAGAGGAGGAUAUUUGAACUAGCUCUUGAAGGAUGAGAAAGAGUUUGCUUCAUAGAGAUAAAGGAGAGGAUAACAGCAGGUAGCAAAGCAGCAGUACACAAAGGUACUGAGUCCAGGCCUGGUCUCCUUUGGAAAUGGAGGAGGAGUAUAAGAGAAUUUUGUGGUAACAUCAGUAAGGAAAAAGAUGAAGGAGGGAGAGUAGAAAUGAGGCUGGAUGGGCGGUUUUGGAGGCCAACUGAGGAGGGUCUUACAUGCUAUGUUAACAGGCCUAGACUUCAUUCUAUAUGCAAACAGGGAGAUCCGGACUAAUGAGGGGUAUGUGUGUGUCCUUGUAUGUGCAUGUGCACGAAGGUGACAUAAUCAGGUAUGACUUUUAGAUGAUACUUGGUGACAAAGGAAGGGUGGAGAAUGUAAACUAGAGAAGCCUGGGAUAAUAUGGCUGCUUGGGAAUGGUGAGAAUUCUGGCAGCUGCAUUGCUGAUGAGUAAAGUGGAGGGAAGCUUUGGAAAAGUGUUUAGGGCCAAUCAGUAGAAGGUCAUACAUUCAUACUAAAGGGUUUGUUUCAAUAAGUAUAGCUAAAGAAUCCCACUCAUAGCUUUUUUUCCUGUGGUUUACAUGACAGUUAUUAAUGGCUCUCCUACUAGGAGCCUGACAUCAUGGUGAGCAUCGAGAAAGGAAUAACCUAAGCUGAAGACACGCCUUUUCAGGAGGCCAAGUUCCACGUUCUGUGCAUGCUUUUGGCGAAAGUCAGGUAAAGCCUCCAGAAAUGCAUGGUCUAUUCUCUCGGACCAUAUGGCUGUGGGCAAACUCUGGCUUCUUGGAGCCUCCAUUAGCCACCUAGGGAAAGGUAAUUGGCUUUAUGUUUGGCUCCAUCACUGCUGGCGACAAGCUCCACUGCAUUCUCAAGCAGUAGAUGAAAUACAACUGUGCUCCUGAAUGCAGCAAAGGAAAGAGAACCCAACUGGACCAGUGUGAAAUUGGGACCUUUGGAGGCAAGAAUGCACAUAUUUAUAAAUGAAUAAACAUAAUUUUUCUCUCUUCUUCCCAUUGGCAGCAUAUCUGAAGGCCCUGACUCAACAGUAGUGGGUCUUAAUGCUUGUGCUUGUCCACCCUUCUCGGCAGUGAUUGAUUUCAUUGUUGGCUUGUUUUCAUGACUUGAAUGUGCGAUCUUCAGAGGGCCUAAUUCCUUGCAAGUUCCAUUUGAGGGUGGAAGAGCUAGAACAAGCUAUAACCAGUAGACAACUCCGUGACUCAGGAGCUUAAGCAUGUGACUAAUUAGUAAGAAAAAAUGUGGUGAAGAUUUGUAGUUAAUAAGAAGGAAAGAAGAAUCACUGGGGCUAGAAUUAUGCAAGCUUUUGUUUCCUUUUGGGACUAUAUCAGAACUAUGAGAGAAGAAAGGCUACCUUUUACCUUUGAGGAAUUUUCAAAGCCUUUUUUUUUUUUUUUGGUUGGUUUGUGACUGACAAAGGGCACAAUUUCAACACCUCAGAAAAAUGCCUCAUCAUUUCCUCUUGUGAAAUCUGGGUGCUUCUGAAUGAAUCCAUGUUAGGAAUGUGUACUUCCAUCCAUUAAAGUCAAUGUCCAGUCUCAUUUUGGGCCAGAGGCUGUUACUAAGUUGUAGUACUGGUGAGAAAAGGACAGAGCAUUUACCUUCCCUGGGUAUCCUGUGACCUACAUGUGUCCUUGCAAGGCAGGGAAAUGUUACUAAUUAAGAGCAUAGCCUUUCGUCAGAUGGGUUCAGAUCCUAACACAUCCUCUUUCUGGUUACAGGACAGUCCUCUCUGAGCCUCAGUUUUCUCAUCUCUAAGAUGAGGCUAAUUAUACCUACUUCCCAGGGGGGUACUAAGGAUAAAGUAACAACACAAGAAAAUUUUUUAUCCUUGAUUUUCUUAGCUGGAAAAUUAGGCUAGAAAGACCUCCAUCCUUGGGGUAUUUAAAAUAAAAGGACAAACAUAUGAUGAGUCUAAGUGAUCAAUACAUUGUGGCUUUUGUACUUACUAUUCUGAAACAUGGGUGUGGCCUAGAUACUUUCCAAAAUUCUGCCCUCUCCACCUAGCAAAAUGACAACCAGACUUACAGAUAUGCCAACAAGCUAGUGUUUAAUAAUGGUGUUUGAUGAUAAAUGGCAUUUCUUUUCGACAUUUGUCUCUUUUUAAAACUUGGUGCUCUUAAAUGCAUCAUUGGAUAAGUGAUGACUGUUCCCAUUCGCAAGAAGAGACCUGGAAUCUAAGCAUGAAGGACCUGUCCUGAUGUUGAGAAGUGUGGAUCACAUUUAUUUGUAAACUUAGCUUCUUGCUCGUCUCAUGGUUGCUUUUUUUUCUUUUUCCUUUUUCUUUUUUUUUUUUUUUUUUUUUUUUUUUUUUUUGAGAGGGAGUCUCACUCUGUCACCCAGGCUGGAGUGCAGUGGUGUGAUCCCGGCUCACUGCAACCUCCACCUCCCGGUUUCAAGCAAUUCUCCUGCUUCAGCCUCCCCAGAAGCUGGGAUUACAGGCACGUGCCACCAUACCCGGCUAACUUUUUUUUUUUUUUUUUUUUUUUUUUGGGAUUUUUAGUAGAGAUGGGGUUUUGCCAUAUUGGUCAGGCUGGUCUCGAACUCCUGACUUCGUGGUCCGCCCACCCGCCUCAGCUUCCCAAAGUAUUAGGAUUACUGGCGUGAGCUACCGCGCCUGGCCUUAUGGUUUUUCUCAUUUUUUCUUCCCUUCCUCCCUCGAUUCCUUUGUUCCUUUUACUCUACCAUGCCUACUGUAAAGAAUAAACAAUAGAUUGGAUCUACUCUCAAGAUGCAGGAUAGAGAAAACCAUCAUUUAUUAAAUGGCAUCUACACCGCAGGCUUUGUACCAGGCACACACUCCACUGUUCCCAGUUAUCCCUUACUGCACCCCUAGAGGUAUAUGUUUUCCCAGAAAAGAUAAACAAGUUGCCCAAAGUCACAUAUCACAUAGCUAGCAAGCGAACAUGGGGCUGAAAUAAAACACUGCCCAAUUCCAAAAUCCAUAUACUUGUUUCUUCAUGUUUCCCUAUGAAAAUGGCAAAGGUGAGGAGUGUGUGGUGUGUGUGCGUGUGCGCGUGCAUGUGCGUGUGUGUUUGCACAUGGAAAAUUCCAAAUAUCACAACUUCUCUAUAGACACUAGACUCAUUCUUUGGCUAUGGCUGUGUCCGUUAUCCCAAACUCUAUCUUUACCCCAGUUUUUACACUUGCAAAAGUAGAGAAACUUUAAGGUCCACCAGCUUUUACUAACCUCCCUCUUGCUCUGAUAGCUGUGUAAUAAUUUUUGUAUCCUUCCCAGUGGGUUCCCAGUCUUUUCAUCUGCUAGGACCAUCUGGUAACUCAUCACCAAACAUGGUGCCUGACAGCAUCACUGGUGCCCUGCAAAUGUCCACCUGAUAAAUGAGUGAAUUAAUGAAUGAAUAAGAAAAUGAAGGAUACUGGCUGCCCCUGGCCAACUAUAUCUUGGCUUUGGCUUGUCAUUCUAGAUUUGUGAUACUGGCUUCUAGCAGAAGCUUAAAGCCUCUUUUUUGUUCUUUUGUUCCUCUAAUGUACUCCCCCUGCCCCUCCACCAAGAUGGGAAGGAGGGCUGAUCUGAGCAUUCAGGUUUCAGAAUGCUAAUUGGAUAGCAGCCAAUUAGAAGUAGAUCCGUAAGGAUUUAAUUAGACUUUCUGGGUAGAUUUGGAUAUUGCUUUCAAAAUGAAAAGGCCCCAAAUCCAGGUUCCCCUGGAUUAUAAUAGUUUUAUGGCUCUGCCCUGCUUUAAUUUGAGGCUAGUUGGCAAUACCCUGUCCAGGAAAAAGGAAUCUUCCAUGUAGUCCUGUCUGUUCUACUGAGGUCUACAUUUGGGUUUUAGCAAACAAUUCAGCUAAUAUAUAUUAUUUUUCUUUGUUCUCAAGGAUUUAAUGGCAAGAUGCCAUUAUAGACAAGAACAGGAUUCAGACACUUUCGUGUUAUGUGUUCUUGUCCAAAUACUGUGUCACUCUGCACUGGCAUCCCAAUCCCACCAACACCUUUAGCAGGAACUUCCUGUUUCAAUAACAUUUCUCAAUACUCUACCUGAUUGCUUAGAAUCCAUGAGACAGCCAUAUUCUCCAUGUCUAGGUCCCUAUCUUAUUUUUGUUGAGAUGGUGUUAAGACUUUAUUUGUGAGGCUUCUGGGGAAGAGGAGUAAGGUAUUGAUCCCACUGACUGGAUAAUUUGGGUCUCAAAAUGGAUAAUAAAUAAGCAUUACAUAUUUUGACCACUUCCUUGGAGGAGAACUUCUUGGAAUGUGCACCAUGUCCGCUGCACUUUUUUUGCACAGAUAUCUAAGUUGGAGAAACAUACUACUAGAUAAAUCAAUUUGUUCUCUUAGUACUCAUGAUAUGGUUCCUGGGAACUUCUGAUUCACCAAAUUAAUCUUGGCCAGGUACAUACCUGGCAGGAAUCCAAAAAUUCCCCAAGUCUCCUUGAAGUUCAGGAUCAUCAUUCUUAAUAAAUACACCGAGGGAAAAACCAUGGAGAGUUUGUCCCAGAUGCUGUGAAUCUGGCCCGGGGUACAUGAAGAAGUCCUUAAUUGCAGUCAUUUACAUGGUAGAUUCUCUAUAAUCAUUUAAUUUGCUAUAGGUCUAUGAUUUUUAGUCCUUCUUCUCUAAAUGAUUGAACAUGUAUAAUUCCCAUUUCAAUCAUAUUACCUGGAUGAACAAAAGUAACGCUAGACUCAUUCAUGCAUUCUGGUUGCCAAGGAAAAGGAAAAAAAAAACAAAACAAUCAACAGGAUGUUUAAACUGUCUUAGGGCAACUUCAGGCCAUAGUCACUGGUGUUCUUGCAGACUAUGAGAUAUUUUACAUUCUGAUAAGGGAUAAAAAUUCGUGCCUCACAUGGCUCCCAUCACACUAAGAUCUUGCAACAAUAACACUACUGAUUCAGACAUUAAUCUUAAGUAUCCAGGGAGCCCUAAAACAUUGUAUCCCACUAGCAAGGACCAUGGUAAUUGCCACGUAAAUCCCCUCCAUUAUGUGGCCCUUAUUAUGACCAGCCAGCCAAGGCUUGCCUUUAAAUCAUACCAAUUGAACCGAGCCUUGUAGAAACACUAUCACCUACGCAUACCUCUGCUUCUUUUCAUUAACCUGCUAUCCUCUUUACAAAUGGGAUUCUUCACCCACUCCCUUCUUCUAGAUUAGCAAUGCCCUGUUAAGUAAACGAACACGAAAUUCAAAGGGAAACAGGAGCAAUCAUCAUUACCAGCUGCCGUGUUAAGCAUUGCGAAAACGCUCACGAUUCACAGAAAAAUCCAUGCUGUUCUUUGAAGGCAUUCAAGCCUUAAUAGCUAGCUGGAUGAAUGUUUAACUUCUAGGCCAGGCACUACUCUGUCCCAACAAUAAGCCCUGUACAUUGGGAAAGGUGCCGAGACAUGAACUUUGGUCUUCUCUGCAAUCCAUCUGGAGCAUUCACUGACAACAUCGACUUUGAAGUUGCACUGACCUGGCCAGCCCUGCCACUUACCAGGUUGGCUCUGUAUGGCUAAGCGUUUUCUCCUAAAAUCCCUUGAAAACUGUGAGAAGACCAUAAGAAGAUCAUAUCUUUAAUUCUAUUUCACAAGUCACACAAUAUUCCAAUCAAAUACAGAUGGUUGAGAAAAGUCAUCCAUCUUCCCUCCCCACCCUCCCACAGCCCCUCAACCACUGCCCUGAAACUUAUAUGCUGUUAUCCGCAGCUCCAUCUGGAGCAUCACAGCUACUGUCAACCCUGACGCUCUUUCUGAAAAAACACCGGAUGGACAUCAGAACUAUUUCUUUAAGGAUGUUACUGAGCCACACAGGAAAACUUGCCUUAUGAUUUUGAAUGCACGGAUCUGAUUUGACUAAACAUGAUAACUAGAGAAUCACCCAAUCUACUCCCAUUUUCAACUCUAAAUCAUCAGAGUGUCUCAAAUCCAAAGCACACACAGACCAGCCUGGCCAACACGGUGAAACUCCACCCCUACUAAAAGUAUAAAAAUUAUCCAGGUGUGGUGGCGGGCGCCUGUAAUCCAAGCUACUUGGGAGUCUGGAGGCAGGAGAAUCCCUUGAACCUGGGAGAUGGAGGUUGCAGUGAGCAGAGAUCACACCACCGCACUCUAGCCUGGGCCACAAAUCAACAACAACAACAACAACAAAAAACAAAGCGCACACAGAGACUGAGGUCCUCUUUGGCAUUGAGAAGAUGGCUAUGCAAGUCCCAACUAGCAAGUGCAAACUUCCCAGCUUCACUUCUGCCAGUGUCCCUUCACCCCUUCUCAACCCCACUGGGAGGCAGGAGGGUGCUUGACAAUAACAGCCUUGGCAUCACUCUGCCAGGGUGUAAUAGGAACUGUUACAAUUCUGAGAUUCUGUGUAAGCACUGGCCUUUCUGCCUAGAAUGCCUUCUCCUCUCUUUUUUAACUGCAUGCUCCUAUUUAUCUUUCAAAGCCCGGAAAAAAUAACACUGCACACGGGAAAUGCUCCCUUCCUACUGCAGUCAUUUAGAUGACUCUAUGCCAUUCCAUUCAUUUCUCUUUCCUACCACAGAAGUGCUUUGAGAUUUUGGAGUCAGACUGCUUGAACUUGAAUCCUGGCCCUCUCAUCAGAGACUUGACUUAUUUUAGGCAAGUUAUAUAACCAAUUUUACCUCAGUUCCUUACCCAUAAAAUGGGUCUAAUGAGAGUACCUACCACACAGAAUUUUGAUGAAAACUGAAUGAGAUGAAGGCCUUUAAGGCAGUGGUCCCCAACCCUGGGGACACAGACAGGUACCAUUUUGUGGCCUGUUAGGAACUGGGCCACACAGCAGGAGGUGAGCAGUGGGUGAGUGAGAUCAGCGUUAUUUACAGCUGCUCCCCAUUGCUCACCUUACUGCCUGAGCUCCACCUCCUGUCAGAUCAGCAGUGGCAUUAAAUUCUCAUAGCAGCACAAACCCUGUCAUGAACUGCACAUGCGAGGGAUCUAGGUUGUGCGCUCCUUAUGAGAAUCUAAUGCCUAAUGACCUGUCACCGUCUCCCAUCACCCCUAGAUGGGAGUGUCUAGUUGCAGGAAACAAGCUCAGGGCUUCCACUGAUUCUACAUUAUGGUGAGUUGUAUAAUUAUUUCAUUAUAUAAUACAAUGUAAUAAUAAUAGAAACACAGUGCACAACAAAUGUAAUGUGCUUGAAUCAUCCCCAAACCAUCCCAGUCCACGGUCUUCCACAUUUUGUCUUUUCACAAAAUUGUCUUCCACAAAACUGGUCCCUGGUGCCAAAAAGGCUUGGGACCACUGCUUUAAAGCCUUUGCAUAGUGCUUAGAAUUGAGGGGGAAAAAAAAAACAAAAACAAUGUAGCUAGUUGCUACAAUCACUAUAUUGGUGAGUUUCAAAAGGAAAAGAAUUCUGUCCCAUUUAUGCUUGAGCCUUGAGUUGCUAACCAAGCCUGACACAAAAUUACUGUUGAAGGGAUGUGUGAGUCCUAAUUGAAAUGAGGCCUCUUAAGGGAAUUGUGGACCAAACCCCAAGCAGGCAGAAAGCCGUAUCUUAAUUAUUGCAAGUAUUUCAGGCAAGGUGUGGAUGGCCAUUUGAAUUCAAGCAGACUAGGACCUGGGAUGAGAAAGAAGGUGUGUACGUGACUUGAUCUUUGAACUUUAGCUCACCAUCUGGAAGAAGGCUGAGUAUUCUCUGCACUCACAUAGUAGCUAAUGCCUACUCCCCAGCCACCCACAAUUCUUUCUGUAGGAAGGCUCGCUAGAAUACUUUGUGAUAUUGGAUAUUAGUUCCAUAUUCUACUGUGUAUCUUAGUUCAACCAAAUUGUAAUCAUCUGAUAUUUAUUUCUUUUAAUAUAAAUAUAAGUAUAUUAAGUCUUGGCAUGCUUGCUCAGUCUCUCUCUCUCUCCCAUUCCUCCCCGCUCCCCUCUCUCUUUCCCAACAGGCUUGGAAAGCAGGCAUCACCAUGCCUAUUUAACAGUUGGGGUCCCUUGGCCACCAGGUGCUGGAGUAGGAAUCUGAGCCCGGACAUGCCUGAUCUGUAAAUUUUGUGUUUUCCCCACUGUGCUGGGCAGAUCACAGCUAUCAGCGCCAAAUUCAUAGAAGGGGCGCCCCCUGUGGUCAAUUGAGGGAUUUGUGUUUGAGGUAGAUCUCAAGAAGGAAUGGGUGGGGAACUUAGCCUAGGACAGAGCAGAAAGGAGCCCUCACUCCCCAAGCACCAACGGCCUCAGUCCUUCCUGCUGACUCCAGCCUCUAGCUCUCACCCAGACUAUCUGCAUCCUUCUCUCCACCACGCUCCUUUGGAACCUGCGUAAAACACAGAUUAAAGGAAUUCCGCCUUACUUCCCUUUCCGCAUUAUGACCAAAUGGUUUUACACUAUCAUUGAACAGUUUAGUACAAAACAUGCCACCUUUUAAUCUAUUCAUUCAUUUAACAAAUACUUUGGAGUGUUUACCAUGUGCCAAGUGCUGUUCUAAUAGACAUAAGCUGUGAGGUUAUGCUUAUCUGAUUCUCACAGCAACAGCUUUCGAGAUAUGAAUUGGUAUACUCAUUUGACAGAUGAGGAAAUUGAAUUCAUGUAGUGAGAAAGGAAGAGCUGCAAUUCAGGGUUACUGGUUUCUCCUGCACUAAGCACUGAGCCACACUAGAAGAGAAGGCAUGAGGAAGACAAAAGUGAGAAGGCACUCAGGAAAUAUUAGUUGCAUGAACGAAGGCUGCAUUUUCAUUAGAACAACAUGCAGUUCAACCCCUUCAUGUUUCAAUGAGGGUUCAGAUACCCAGAGGGCUAUGCUAUCAUCCUGGAGCCCACUCUGCUAACAAUUAGCAGAACGGAAGCCUUAAUUUCCAGAUUCUAGUGAACUUGAUGAGUCAAGACUAUUGCAAUUGGAAAUCUGUUCUCCUCUGCUGCUGCAUUCCCUGCUUAAUACUCAAGCCAGAAACCAGGAAGGUAUGUGCCACAAAGUAAAGUGGGAUUCAGGACAAUUAUCCAUCAAGACUUUGUUACAGAUAUCCAAAGCAGGCAAUUCAAGACCCAGCUUGACUUUACUGUCUCCAUUGUGGUGGUUAAUGGAGACAAAUUCAAUUCAAAUAUGUGCACGUGGAUUUCUUUGUUUCUCUGAGGUUUGACUUAUCUGCCAAAAGAGAGAAACACAGAAAGAGGGGAGAAACAGGAGAGGGGAAAGAGAGAGGAGAGAGAAACCAAGGAAAUGUGACAUAUAAUAAUUUUUUAAAGAAUAUUUUUUCAUUUUUUUAUUGAGGUAUAAAAUACAUGUAGUAAGGUAUGUCAAUAACUCAAAUCUUAUGUGAUUUUUUUAUGUACAUGUAUACCUGUGUACACCUGUGUAACCACUACCUAAGUCAAGAUAGAGAACAUUUUAAUCAUCUUAAAAGAUUUCCUGUGUCUCUUCCCACCAAUACCUGCUGAUGAGCCCACUCUCCUUACAGCUAUCAGCAGAGUUGUUUUACCUGUCCUUGAACUUAAUAUAAAUGUAAUUAUACUGUAUAUGCUCUUUUGUGUCUGAUUUCUUUCACCCAACGUACUUGUUGGUUUAGUCCAUGUUGUGUAUAUCAGCAGUUUGUUUUUGUUAAGUAGCAGUGUUCCAUUGUAUAAAUGGACCAUAUUUUAUCCUUCAUGUUAAUGAACAUUUGAAUUGUUUUCAUGUUCUUGUUAUGAAUCAACAUGGUUAUGAAUAGUUUGGUUAUGAAGAGUUUUACACAUGUUUUUAGUCUAUUUUGUUUCUCUUAAAUAUAUACUUAGUCACGGGAUUACUGGUCAUAUAGUAUAGGCAGGCAGAUGUUCAGCUUUAAUUGACACAACCAACUGUUUUUGAAAGGGGUUGAG
rnacentral:lncRNA from 1 species